GUUUGCAUAGACGUAGCUGUAGCAAAUGUUGUUCUGUAGAAUAACUGGGGAAUUUUGAAGGUGACCUGACCACAACGUGGUUGUGCUAUGAAGCGAUAUAGCAAUGGACACCGAUCAGAUUUAUGCGAGCAGACGAACGAUAAAGGAUUUUAACCGCCCUGUUCUGAAGUACAUUGAUUCGAUGCAAAAUUGAUUGAGAUGUGGAUCCCCAAGCUACAAUUGCAUAUUGGAUAUAUGUUUGAAAAAGUCAACACAGAUUUCGCACUGUCGAGAAGACCGGUGUCAUCUGCGAACAAUUUUGUCAAGAGGUCAGAGCAAUUCGAGAUGUCAUUGAUAUAUAAAACGAAAAACAGUGGGCCAAGACAGCUGCCCUGGACAAUUCCUGUUUUUAUGGGAAGCACUUCAGACCGAUUUAAAUAAUGGAAUGACGCGGGCUAGUUUGAGGGCUGAUGGGAAGAUGCCCAUUAUUAAAGAAGCAUUGAAGAAGUACACAAUGAUCGGGGAAAUAAUGUCGGCAAUGAUCUUGAGAAAUGGUAGCUCGGAGGUAUAUUAAUUCCUUGGUGGUGGAGCGAAGAAAUUAUUUGAAAUUUUUAUUAGAAGGUGGCACACUGUCAAUAAGAUUUUUACCAAUGCUUGUGAAAAAA